rnacentral:rRNA from 1 species
CAGUCCACGGUAAUACGAAGGGUGCAAGCGUUACUCGGAAUUACUGGGCGUAAAGCGUGCGUAGGUGGUGGUUUAAGUCCGUUGUGAAAGCCCUGGGCUCAACCUGGGAAUUGCAGUGGAUACUGGGUCACUAGAGUGUGGUAGAGGAUAGUGGAAUUUCCGGUGUAGCAGUGAAAUGCGUAGAGAUCGGAAGGAACAUCUGUGGCGAAGGCGACUAUCUGGGCCAACACUGACACUGAGGCACGAAAGCGUGGGGAGCAAACAGGAUUAGAUACCCGCGUAGUCCCUGUCUCUUAUACAC